AUACUCUCCAUUUCUGUUCUUCAACAAACGCCUCUGACUCCUGCUGUAUUUGCCCCUCAGAAUUCCUUCCUUGGUGCUGAUGUGUGCAUCCAGCCUUCUAUCUAAUAGCCUUGUGUGGAGUGCCACCUUGUAAGAAGUUAAUUAUAGAAGAAUUGAUGACGUUGGGAAUGAUAUCAAUCUGCAUUACCUCAUCUCUCCGAUAGGGGGAAAACUUCCGGGAAAAAGUGUCCCACUCUGUUAUGCCAGAGACUUCUUCUACGGGCCAGCUUCUGCUUGAUUAGCCAGCUGAUGAAGAUAUAUAAAAGGGGACAUUCUCCCUGGAGGCCAUACAGCAAUGCUAGUGGCUCUCAUGGAAUGGAGCAGAGAGGCACGGCUUUCACCACCAAACACGCACCACAGGAAUGGAAGUUCUGUGAGGGGAGAGUCUACCUCGUCCAUCACGGGUCCUCAGCUCCUAAGACAGUGCCUAUCACUGGUACCUGCUCCAUAGUGCCUCAGGAAACUAUAUCUUGUCCUCAAGCUCUUGAGUUGUCUUGAAGUCACGCUGAUACAUUCAUUAAGGGACUGGAGGAAUGUAUAAGUACCUGGGAGACCCAGCUCUCACAGUGUUUAUUUGAAAGACCAUUUAGCCAAUUCAAGAGAUUGCAUUGUGAACAAUUCGUCUUCUCAGAGGAGUCUGGGGACAGUCAAGCCAUAGUGCUCUAUUUCGAGAAUUUGUAUCAUGCCAUCCCUGGAUAGAUUUUAACACCACAGGCAGGAAAUAAAAACAAGAUUUUUUCUUCUUCGCGGAGCAUUUGAAGGCUGGUAAUAUCUUUGAGACCAGGUUUGUGUUGGUUUUCUCUGGUUCCUCUGCAACUGUUAACAAAAGCCUAUUGUGAUAAUACACAAAUAUUGUAAUAAUAUGCUGUGAGAAAAAUGGCAAAACACAGCAGGGUGAUUUCCUGUGUGGGAAAUCCACCCCUCCACCAAAAAAACCCCUCCAAAGAAAACCCAGUGAAAGGAUGCCUUCCUCCCCUUCAUUUGGGCAGCACGGUGUCCCUCUGUUCUUUGGUCUCACAGUCGCUCUGUCUUCUAUUUCUCUACUGCACAGUAGAAAUAGAAUGAGUCACUAAAUUUUCUUUACGCUAAAUGGUCUUGUAGCCGCAUGGAAAGGUAUAAGUAAAAAGCAAUAGAUAGUUAAUUUUAAGAAUAUAUUUAGCCCAAUCUAUCCAAAAUAUCAUUUUAACACAUAGUCAAUGUAACAUAAUUGUUGAGGUAGUUUAUGUUUUUUGUUCUUGCUUUUUUUGGUAUUAAAUGUUUAAAAGCCAGUGUGUUUCUUAUACUUACUUGACAUCUCAUUUUCGACUGGGUGCAUUUCAAGAGCCUAAUAGCCACUUAGGACUGAAGGCUGCCAUAUUGGACAGCAUAGGUCUAGACAAUGCCUUGGGCAGUGAGAGUACAUCAUAAUUACCAGUACAGUCUUACUUAGGCUCCUAAAGAGAUUGUUAAAUGCUAGGAUUUUGGGAGGUGUCUUAUAGACUAAAAUGGUUUACAAAGACCUGACUGAU